rnacentral:rRNA from 1 species
UUAACGCGAAGAGACUACCUGGUCUUGACAUCCACAGAACCUGGCAGAGAUGCCGGGGUGCCUUCGGGAACUGUGAGACAGGUGCUGCAUGGCUGUCGUCAGCUCGUGUUGUGAAAUGUUGGGUUAAGUCCCGCAACGAGCGCAACCCUUAUCCUUUGUUGCCAGCGGUUAGGCCGGGAACUCAAAGGAGACUGCCAGUGAUAAACUGGAGGAAGGUGGGGAUGACGUCAAGUCAUCAUGGCCCUUACGACCAGGGCUACACACGUGCUACAAUGGCGCAUACAAAGAGAAGCGACCUCGCGAGAGCAAGCGGACCUCAUAAAGUGCGUCGUAGUCCGGAUUGGAGUCUGCAACUCGACUCCAUGAAGUCGGAAUCGCAUAGUAAUCGUGAAUCAGAAUGUACAUCGGUGAAUAUGACUA